GGGGAAACAGCUCAGUGGUUAAGAGCAUGCUUUCUAGAGGACCUGGGUUCAAUUCCCAGUAUCCACA
rnacentral:tRNA from 1 species